UACGCAGGGGGCUAGCGUUGCUCGGAAUUACUGGGCGUAAAGGGCGCGUAGGUGGCUUGGCAAGUGGAAGGUGAAAUCCCUCGGCUCAACUGAGGAACUGCCUUCCAGACUGCUUUGCUUGAGGCCGGGAGAGGCGAGUGGAAUUCCCAGUGUAGCGGUGAAAUGCGUAGAUAUUGGGAGGAACACCAGUGGCGAAGGCGACUCGCUGGACCGGUUCUGACGCUGAGGCGCGAAAGCGUGGGGAGCAAACAGG
rnacentral:rRNA from 1 species